rnacentral:rRNA from 1 species
CCCUUAGAUGUCCGGGGCUGCACGCGCGCUACACUGAAGGAAUCAGCGUGCUAAAACCAUUGUCGAAAGGCAUUGGUAAACCCAUUAAAAUCCUGCGUGAUUGGGAUCGGGAAUUGCAAUUAUUUCCCUUGAACGAGGAAUUCCCAGUAAGUGUGGGUCAUAAGCUCGCGUUGAUUACGUCCCUGCCCUUUGUACACACCGCCCGUCGCUGCCCGGGACUGAGCCGUUUCGAGAAAAGCGGGGACUGCUGCUGUCGGGGCUUUCGGGCCUUGGCUUCGGUGGAAACCGCUUUAAUCGCAGUGGCUUGAACCGGGCAAAAGUCGUAACA